ACCCUUAUAUCCUUCUUCUGAGAAUAUACACAAAUAUGUUAUAUUCAGAGGUCGUUGCCAUGGAAACGGUGUCCAUGUACAUGCCAAUUUCAUUUUAUUUUUCUGACAAUGGAUAUUGUCCCUUUGAGUACAUAACCUUUUUAUGCUACUUUAAUUAUUAUUUUGUCAGGUUCAUAUCACCUUAAGGUAGCACAAUACAAAAAAUCUU
rnacentral:lncRNA from 1 species